UUAUUUUCAACGAUAUCAUCAGUUAUAGA
rnacentral:sRNA from 1 species